rnacentral:rRNA from 1 species
UACGUAGGGGCAAGCGUUGUCCGGAAUUAUUGGGCGUAAAGAGCUCGUAGGCGGCUCAGCAAGUCGGCUGUGAAAUCCCGAGGCUCAACCUCGGAACUGCAGUCGAUACUGCUGUGGCUAGAGUCUGGUAGAGGAGAAUGGAAUUCCCGGUGUAGCGGUGAAAUGCGCAGAUAUCGGGAGGAACACCAGUAGCGAAGGCGGUUCUCUGGGCCAGUACUGACGCUGAGGAGCGACAGCGUGGGUAGCAAACAGGA